rnacentral:lncRNA from 1 species
GGAUUACUGAAUGCGAUACUGGCUGGGGUUUACCUCUCAAGAUAUGAAUGGACUGCCAAAAAUUGUGACAGAAGCAAGUGAGAAGUCAAGACAACCGUGUGGACCCCUUUGGUGGAACUGCGCCCCACUAUCUUCUUGCUCCAGAAGGAAUUAGUGCUGCUUAUCUCACUGUGAAAUGAAGAGACUGUGUUCCAAGUCACCAUGAGGAAGUUUUUGGCAGUGAGAAGAAGUGUUAACUGCUGCCGUGAAAGGGCUACUGAAUUUGGUGUUAGUACAGAGGUUAUU